rnacentral:rRNA from 1 species
UGGGGAAUUUUGGACAAUGGGGGAAACCCUGAUCCAGCCAUCCCGCGUGUGCGAUGAAGGCCUUCGGGUUGUAAAGCACUUUUGGCAGGAAAGAAACGUCAUGGGUUAAUACCCCGUGAAACUGACGGUACCUGCAGAAUAAGCACCGGCUAACUACGUGCCAGCAGCCGCGGUAAUACGUAGGGUGCAAGCGUUAAUCGGAAUUACUGGGCGUAAAGCGUGCGCAGGCGGUUCGGAAAGAAAGAUGUGAAAUCCCAGAGCUCAACUUUGGAACUGCAUUUUAAACUACCGGGCUAGAGUGUGUCAGAGGGAGGUGGAAUUCCGCGUGUAGCAGUGAAAUGCGUAGAUAUGCGGAGGAACACCGAUGGCGAAGGCAGCCUCCUGGGAUAACACUGACGCUCAUGCACGAAAGCGUGGGGAGCAAACAGG